rnacentral:rRNA from 1 species
AGCACGCCGCGUGAGUGAAGAGGUUUUCGGAUCGUAAAGCUCUGUUGUUGGAGAAGAACGUGUGUGACAGUGGAAAGUUUUCCAGUGACGGUAACUUACCAAAAAGGGACGGCUAACUACUUCCCACCACCCGGGGUAUUCCUUAGGUGCCGACCUUUGUCCGGAUUUAUGGGCCUUAAAACAACCGCAGGCGGUUUAUUAAUUCUAAGUUUAAGCGCUCUGCUUAACCCGUUGUUUGCUUUGGAAACUGUUAAACUUGAGUGCAGAAGAGGAGAGUGGAACUCCAUGUGUAGCGGUGAAAUGCGUAGAUAUAUGGAAGAA